AAAUUGGAUUAAAGGUUCAUUGA
rnacentral:siRNA from 1 species